UCUACUACUUCCGGUUAGAAUUCGAAGUGCAGAUCGAUGCACACAUGAGCUGUGUUCCAAAGUUGAGUGUGCACACUUCGGAGGCCACGGACUUCAAAGACCAGGCCUCCGAAGUGCACGAAGGGUCCUCCCAAGUGCGUGAAGCACGCUCCGCUUUAGCAGGAUUUCCUAAUUGCGACACUAGAGGUUCCCAUUAGCACUCUGUCGCAUAGCAACUGUGCAAGAGGAGAGCAGACGAGAAGACAAUCCUAGGUGGAGCCAGAAUUGCUAAUUUUUGUUUUUAUGUUUUAUGCUGUUUUUUAUACAGUCUAUGGUUUUAUGUCAUAAUGGAAGAGACGGUGAUGUACCCCAGGCUUAGCCAAAACAGAGGCCAGACCAGACCCCUAUACUGCAGGAUAACGCUUAAUGUGCCAGCACUGGACAGGUUUUUAAUGCUUUUUAGCUGAACAGGGAGGCCCUGAGAGUGCUGCUGGAUCUUCUGAGAAGUGAACGUCAACAGUGAUGGGGUGCCACAAUCCAGACCCUGGUGUUUCUUUUCUGUCUGCCAGCGAUCACACAGAGUGGUCUCCAGAGUGUUUGACAUGUGCCUCCUUCCACUGACUGCAUUGUCCUCCGAGUCGCUGAGGAGGUGCUGGCCAUUCACCAAGAGAUUCACCUCCUCAAGACCCCAGAGCACAUGGAGGCAGGGCUGGGCUCAAAGUGAUGUUGUUUUUCUGAUGUUAAACCUAAGCUAUGUUGUAAAUAGUUCUAAACAGUACUUUCAGUAAUGUAUUGUACUAUUUGUUUUAAUGUGUAAAAAAUCUAUUUAUAGGA